AUUAGAUACCCGGGUAGUCCAGACCGUAAACGGUGGGCACUAGUUGUGGGAACCUUCCACGGUUUGUGCGACGCAGCUAACGCAUUAAGCGCCCCGCCUGGGGAGUACGAUCGCAAGAUUAAAACUCAAAGGAAUUGACGGGGCCCCGCACAAGCAGCGGAGCAUGCGGCUUAAUUCGACGCAACGCGAAGAACCUUACCAAGGCUUGACAUAUACAGGAAUACGGCAGAGAUGUCGUAGCGGUUAAACGUCUGUAUACAGGUGGUGCAUGGUUGUCGUCAGCUCGUGUCGUGAGAUGUUGGGUUAAGUCCCGCAACGAGCGCAACCCUCGUUCUGUGUUGCCAGCAUUUAGUUGGGGACUCACAGGAGACUGCCGGGGUUAACUCGGAGGAAGGUGGGGAUGACGUCAAAUCAUCAUGCCCCUUAUGUCUUGGGCUGCACGCAUGCUACAAUGGCUGGUACAAAGGGCUGCAAUACUGCAAAGUGGAGCGAAUCCCAAAAAGCCAGUCUCAGUUCGGAUUGGGGUCUGCAACUCGACCCCAUGAAGUCGGAGUUGCUAGUAAUCGUAGAUCAGCAACGCUACGGUGAAUACGUUCCCGGGGCUUGUACACACCGCCCGUCACAUCACGAAAGUCGGUAACACCCGAAGUCAGUGGCCCAACCGCAAGGAGGGAGCUGCCGAAGGUGGGAUCGGUGAUUGGGAUGAAGUCGUAACAAGGUACC
rnacentral:rRNA from 1 species